UACGGAGGGGGCUAGCGUUGUUCGGAAUUACUGGGCGUAAAGCGCGCGCAGGCGGGUCAUCAAGUCAGAGGUGAAAUCCCAGAGCUCAACUCUGGAACUGCCUUUGAAACUGGUGACCUUGAGUACGGGAGAGGUGAGUGGAAUACCCAGUGUAGAGGUGGAAUUCGUAGAUAUUGGGUAGAACACCAGUGGCGAAGGCGGCUCUCUGGUCCGAUACUGACGCUGAGGUGCGAAAGCGUGGGGAGCAAACAGG
rnacentral:rRNA from 1 species